rnacentral:rRNA from 1 species
CCUACGGGAGGCAGCAGUGGGGAAUUUUGGACAAUGGGCGCAAGCCUGAUCCAGCAAUGCCGCGUGAGUGAAGAAGGCCUUCGGGUUGUAAAGCUCUUUUGUCAGGGAAGAAACGGUGGGAGCUAAUAUCUCCCGCUAAUGACGGUACCUGAAGAAUAAGCACCGGCUAACUACGUGCCAGCAGCCGCGGUAAUACGUAGGGUGCAAGCGUUAAUCGGAAUUACUGGGCGUAAAGCGUGCGCAGGCGGUUUUGUAAGUCUGUCGUGAAAGCCCCGGGCUCAACCUGGGAAUUGCGAUGGAGACUGCAAGGCUUGAAUCUGGCAGAGGGGGGUAGAAUUCCACGUGUAGCAGUGAAAUGCGUAGAGAUGUGGAGGAACACCGAUGGCGAAGGCAGCCCCCUGGGUCAAGAUUGACGCUCAUGCACGAAAGCGUGGGGAGCAAACAGGAUUAGAUACCCUGGUAGUCCACGCCCUAAACGAUGUCUACUAGUUGUCGGGUUUUAAUUAACUUGGUAACGCAGCUAACGCGUGAAGUAGACCGCCUGGGGAUACGGUCGCAAGAUUAAAACUCAAAGGAAUUGACCGGNNGAGAGNGACGAGACGACGACGAGGAGGAGG